GGCAAAUUUAUGCCUAAGGCAUUGGGCAAGGCUUCCGAUACCAGGUUCUAGAAGAACCAAGAACUCCACUGACAACUUGAGCAGUUGAUGAUGCCUGCUCCAAUGCCAGUUGCAAUACCAAAGUUGAAUGCAGUUAAAGGAGUAGUGUGCUGGUUACACGAGAGCACAGUGCAUUUCACAAAAAAGCACACUUCUGAUUUGUGUGUGGUCUCUGUGCUUGUUAUGCACACCAAAGUUUACACAUCACAUCCGAGUUUUUCUGUUCUUUUUUUUGCGCACACUUUCACAUGUUUGUCAUAUUUAUUUGUAUAGUUUUGCACCCUGCUCAUUGACGAGUGAACCAUGGUCUAAAUAAAAUGCAAAUGUGAAGUUAGAAAGCCUUAAGUCUAGUGAAUACUGCACAGAAAUAGGGCAGCAGUUAUUGAGGGUUCCUUCAUUGGCUUCGAGUUCCCUGCAGCACAUGUGCAACAGGAGUUGUGGAGAAUUGCAGCACCCUUAGUGGACACACGUUAUGCGUAGUCCUUAAGCAUGCAUUGCUAAUAGCUCUGGAGUAAUUAGAUGUUAAUGACGCAUAGGGCACAUAUCGCAGUAUUUCUCUGGUAGUCACUGCCUUAAGCACUCUCUUGCUUGUUCUCUGGAGUGUGCUUGAGAAUUUUGGUCGAGGUGCCUUGAAUGUCCUGGAUUCCCAAUCAUGUGAUGUUUGCUCCUUACAGUCUGUGUUUGUUAAAGUUAAGCCACAAUAUAUGCGUCUUCAUUGUGUAAGUCUGGUGGCGACUGUACUGCUAUCAACUUGCAUGCAUUCUGGUGUGAUUGCCUUGCAAAAUCAGUGUAACUGCACUGAUUUAGAAAGGAGGCUUUUGCAAGGCUUUAAUUAAGGGGGCCUGUGUAGUUUAUUAGAAAAAAUGCUUUCAUGUGCCUGACUCAACAUAUCCAAGCUAACAUGAAUCGAAAACUGGGCGAGUAGGACAGUUUCAUGGUUAACAUGGCAAAAAAAAAAUGACGACAGGGAAAAAGUAGGGACACUGUGAGCGCUAUUUUUCAACUGAAGGUUUAUUGAAAACAUUUUCCGAAUAAAUAUGCAAGUUCACGCACAAAGAAAAAAAAAAAAGAUGAAAUUGUCCAAAAUGGCUGGCUCAGACCUGUGCAUGCUUUUCGAUCUGUAAAGCUUUGGCAAUUUCACGGGUGCACUUAUCUAUGAACAUCAUAAGUAUGUAAGUGUUACUGAAAUCGUGAACAUCCACGUGACCAACACUGACUUGAUAAAUAAAGGCUAAGUGCACCUUUUAGCAAAUUAAAAUGUUCCCUCAAGCAGAUAAUGAUAAAUCAGCCAGUUUGUCCUAGCUAAUCUUUGCCACAAGACAGCGCAACCUUGUAAGCAACAUCUUGUCGUAUUUCUUUUGUGACCCUGUAUAUUUAAUUGGCACAUGUUUUCAAUAAACUUUCAUUUAAAAGACAGAGCUCGUUUCGUCUACUUUUUCCUUGUCCCCGUCUUUAUUGUGCUGUAAAUCCCGAAUAUCCAAGGUACAUAUAAGAACCCAUAAUUUAUUGCAAAGAAAGUAUGGAGGUGCUUUUUCUAUGCCUCCACAUUGCACUUCAUUUUUGAAGUGCAGUGUGAAGCAUCAAGCUAUCAUGAGCUUUGUUUCUGUUUAGCAUCUAUAUAUUUCUGUUGUGCUAGCUUGCACUCGGGUAAGAGAUCUUUUUCACAUUUCAGGUUGCAUUUUUGUGCAACUCAGUGCAAACUGUUUUUUUUUUUUUUCUGUCAUAAACACCGUUCAUGAAAGGCACCUCUAAACGUAAACCAAAUUAACAUCUUUAACUUGCUCAUCAGUGCAGUAGUAAACACUGCGUAGUAAAAACAUAGACAGUGCACGCAGAAGAAUGAUUGAAAUUUUUAAUCUCUUCUUCUGUUUGUUCUUAGUGACGCUGAAUAUGCAUGAAAUGCAUUCAAAGCAACAUCUUUAACAGGCGUGAAUUAUUUGAUGACUGGAGGGGAUAUCAAAGUCAUUAGAUGGCCAGGUGGCAUAAGAAAAGCCACACAAGGGAAAUCAGUUUUUAAUAUAGCGGCAUUACCAGACCCAUGGUUCUCUUGUUAUACACAUUUGUAUGCGUCCUUUCCUGUUUUCUUUUUUUCUUUUCUAGUGCACCUGUUUGACCAAUUGCAUUUUUAUUCACAAUGUCAAACGGUAUGUGACUGGUUGUGAACUUUCUUCACUUGAUGACCAGGAUUUAACGGCGGUCAGUGUAAACGACCGAGCAACAUAAUCAGGUGAUUGCUUGGUGAGCUGAUCAAUUGACACUCGCACUUGCUCUCUAAGGUUUAUGUCUGUGACUUUCACGAAAUGUAGAUGCCAUGGUUGUUGAAAAAAAACUCGAGGUUGUGCGAAUCGCUAGAUGUGUGGUGCGACCUAACAUUUGCUGCCUUUUUGUGGAAGUUGGCAGUGAGAGUCACUCAUAGAGCCAUGCGUUAGGGGUGCAAAACGUUGCAGCUACCUGAAUCAGAAUGCUAUAGUUCUCUCUGUGACUUGGGAAGUGUGUAAUAAGGUGCUGUGCUGGUCUUGUACAUCAUAAGGAUGUGCCAGAGGAUGCUUAGUUUGACCUGCUUAUGUGAGCUGUACAGUGCACAGAGAUAAUGGAUGAAGGAUAAGGGGAACACAGUACACAGCACUAAACUAACAAAGAACAUAUUUAUUGAAAGGAGGCUUGAUAAUAUAGGCUAAGAUAAUAUUGCUGAAGGAUAACGGAAAACAAUAUUGGGGUCCUGUUCUAAGGUCUCCUAUGGCACUGGAAUAGUCAUCACUCAUGAUUUCAUUGUGGUUCCACGAAAUGUCAUACUCCUCUGUGGUUGCCGAGUGGCUAUGGCAGUUGCACUGCUGCGCUUGAGGUCGCGAGUUCAAUCUUGCCCGUGGUGGCCGCAUUUCAGUGGGGGCGAAAUGCAAAAACACUUUUGUACUUAGAUUUAGGUGCAUGUUAAAGAAGCCCAGGUGGCCAAAAUUAAUCCCAUUAUGGCAUGCCACAUAAUCAGAUCAUGGUCUUUUGCACGUGAUACCUCAAAAUUAACUUAUUUGUCAUAAGAAGCAUAUGUUCAGCAGUUGCUAUUUGUUUGCAUGCAUUGCACAAGACUUGAUUCUUUCUCUAUGUCUGCCAAGUUUUGUUUCGUCUUUCUUCCAUUGUCUGUGUGUACUGCAUGCUUCACGUGAAGUCUCGUGUGACCGGAAUUGUACAGAACACGACCAUGAUGUAAUAUGUACCGGGUGCGCGACCUAUUUGAAGACAUGACGUCAAAUCACCUAGACAUUAACAUUCUCAUUCUAUCUGCUUCACUUCAUCUUCCACAACCCCUUCGUCACCUAUCUAGCACAAUUAUUCCAGGAUAUCAGCUUUCAGUUGUACAAAUGAGAUGAAUCCGUAUGGUGUCCUAGUUGCCUUACAUGCCGGCCACAGCAACAUCGAGACUGACACCUUCAUUGUCUUGAAGGCAACAAUCAUCAGGUGCCACUCUUAAGUAAUUGAUUUGCUUGCUCCUACAGGGCCAGUGCCACCCAAGAAUGGGUAGCUGUGAACUUCUAUGGUCACGUAGCCCUCAAUGUGGUGUCCUAAUUUUGAAUAUAAACCUGCUAUACCGCUACGUAUGCAGGGCAUCACUGAGAGGGAGAGUAACAAACAGCCACCAGAUCAUAAAAACUCACUAAAUGCUGUUAUCGUAGAAGCACUGCCGAAAACCAGCAUGCACUAUCUGAUCGAAACAUGCAGCCGUUAUCGAAGCAAAAUUGAGUCAGUAAUUGAGGAUCAAGAUGCUCUUGUUCAACUGCCUUAGAAGACACAGGCAAAUAGAACAGUGUAAAAAUUUUUAAACGAAUAUAGCAAUUCUUGUCUGAAAUAUCCUCGCUGUUCAUGAAGUUGUCACUUUGUCCUCAAAUACCUCGUGCACCCAGUACAUGGUGCAGCAGCGGGAAAUGAAUUCAUUCUCACCUGUUGCUAGCAAAUUUAAGAGCUCAUACCCUAUGCAUUUUUGAAACCUAGAGCUGUCUUUUAUUACUAUAGAAACAGUGCUAAUUGUUGACUGCCAAUGAAACAUACCUCUAUUUGACAUGGCAAAGCAACAUUUUUUUUUUCAUAUUGUCUCUACUUAUUUAUGCCUAUUGCCUUUAGAGCAGCUGUCGUUUCUUGUUCAUUGUGUUAGUUGGCAGGUGUGGUUAGCUUGUAAGACAGGGAUAAAUAGUUUUUAAUUUCCUUGGUACCUGGUUUCUCAUUUAUUAUGUUUAGCACAUUUUGCACUGGCCAGAGUACCUGAAUGGCUUGGCAUUUAUAGAAUCUGCAUUUCUGUGGUGGAUGUCUAUGUCUAACCUAUUUCUCACGAAUUCAAAGAGCCCAUGCAUAGUUGCUGUGUCAUGUUUAUUCCAGUGUAGAUUCUGCUAAUUUUUACUUUUGUCAUUUAUUUCUUGCACUCGUUUCCACUGUUGAAAUUGCACUUACUACUUUCUUUCAGUAAAGAUAUCGGACGUCUUGUUUGAAGUAAACAAUUCUGGUUAUUGUCAUUAAAAAUAUUUGGUGCAAUUUCUUAAAUGAGAACGAAUAUUGAUAUUAUUGUUAAACCAGCAUUGCGUUCUACAAUACCAUGUAUGCUUUAAAAUGAUUCAGCCAUAUAGUCUUUAAUAAAGAAAAAAUCGGUUUCAAGUACAA